rnacentral:misc_RNA from 1 species
AACUAUCAACCACGACUUGGUUUACUCCUCGUCGUGGCUUGGAUGUGGGUGUUUGCUGCUGCAAAGCUGCUCGCCUUAAAAGGAUUAGCUGGACUCGCUUUGCGAAUAGGUUUGACUCGGCGUAAUAAGUUAUUUCGCUGAGGACAUCUUCGGAUGGCCUACUUGCUUUGCACACGUCUGCUUUCUAACCCUAGUUCUCAUUAGAGACAUGACUUUAUA